UACGAAGGGGGCUAGCGUUGCUCGGAUUGACUGGGCGUAAAGGGCGCGUAGGCGGUUCGUACAGUCAGACGUGAAAUUCCUGGGCUCAACCUGGGGGCUGCGUUUGAUACGUACGGGCUUGAGUUCGGAAGAGGGUCGUGGAAUUCCCAGUGUAGAGGUGAAAUUCGUAGAUAUUGGGAAGAACACCGGUGGCGAAGGCGGCGACCUGGUCCGAUACUGACGCUGAGGCGCGAAAGCGUGGGGAGCAAACAGG
rnacentral:rRNA from 1 species